rnacentral:rRNA from 1 species
CGUACACUCCUACGGGAGGCAGCAGUGGGGAAUAUUGCACAAUGGGCGCAAGCCUGAUGCAGCCAUGCCGCGUGUAUGAAGAAGGCCUUCGGGUUGUAAAGUACUUUCAGCGGGGAGGAAGGCGAUAAGGUUAAUAACCUUGUCGAUUGACGUUACCCGCAGAAGAAGCACCGGCUAACUCCGUGCCAGCAGCCGCGGUAAUACGGAGGGUGCAAGCGUUAAUCGGAAUUACUGGGCGUAAAGCGCACGCAGGCGGUCUGUCAAGUCGGAUGUGAAAUCCCCGGGCUCAACCUGGGAACUGCAUUGGAAACUGGCAGGCUAGAGUCUUGUAGAGGGGGGUAGAAUUCCAGGUGUAGCGGUGAAAUGCGUAGAGAUCUGGAGGAAUACCGGUGGCGAAGGCGGCCCCCUGGACAAAGACUGACGCUCAGGUGCGAAAGCGUGGGGAGCAAACAGGAUUAGAUACCCCAGUAGUCCCAU